rnacentral:rRNA from 1 species
GUGCCAGCAGCCGCGGUAAUACCGGUGGCUCGAGUGGUGGCCGCUAUUAUUGGGUCUAAAGGGUCCGUAGCCGGCCUGAUAAGUUACCUGGGAAAUCCGGUGGCCUAACCAUCGGGCGGCCAGGUAAUACUAUCAGGCUCGGGACUAGGAGAGACCAGAGGUACUCAUGAGGUAGGAGUGAAAUCCUGUAAUCUUAUGAGGACCACCAGUGGUGAAGACGUCCGGUUAGAAUAGGUCCGACGGUGAGGGACGAAGGCUGGGGGCGCAAACCGGAUUAGAUACCCGGGUAGUCCCAGCAGUAAACGAUGCCAGCUAUGUGUUGCUGGAACCAUGGGUUCCAGCAGUGCCGAAGGGAAGCCGUGAAGCUGGCCACCUGGGAAGUACGGUCGCAAGGCUGAAACUUAAAGGAAUUGGCGGGGGAGUACCACAACCGGUGGAGCCUGCGGUUUAAUUGGAUACAACGCCGGGAAUCUUACCGGAGGGGACAGCAGUAUGAAGGCCAGGCUAAAGACCUUGCCAGAUCAGCUGAGAGGAGGUGCAUGGCCGUCGCCAGUUCGUACCGUGAGGCAUCCUGUUUAGUCAGGCAACGAUCGAGACCCG